UUCAAGUUCAGUCCCUUUGGCAAAACUUUAAGCUUUCAUCAGGAGGCAUGUAAUGUCUGUUAUUUGCUCUUUUUAAACGUUUACAACAGUUAUUAUUCAAAACACACAUACAUUAAUUUACCAGGGUUGCAAAAAAGAAAGAAAUCUUGUCAUUUAUGGCAACAUGGACGAACUUGGGAGACAUUUAUGUUAAGUGAAAUAAAGCAGGCACGUGAAGCAAAUACUGCAUGAGCUCAUUUACACGUGGAAUCCAAAAGUGUUGAAUUCAUUGAAGCAAAGACUAGAAUGGCAGUUACUAGAGUCUGUGGUAAGUGUCCGCUCCUAUCCCAGUUACAUUCAACCAGAAGACAUCACCUAUCUAAAACCAUGGGUGAUUUCCUGGGGAGUACAGCACCGAGGUAAUCACCACCGAGGAAAGCGAAAGCAAAAGACGGAGUCAUGGGUUUCAGCCAUAGUCUCGGUUUCACUGGAGCUGUGUCAAGCAGCGAGAUUGUGACCGUGGCCUGUGCCAGCAAGAGAGCCGGAAAGCAGAGGAAAACACUGAACUGCAUUGCUCUAAUAAAACUGUUUUGGAUAAGGUUGGACUACAGUUAAUUUUGACCCUAUCAGUGAAAAAUGUUAAGUAAAUUAUGAGGGUAAACAAGAUUUAUUGUGUUAGAGAACAUAUUCUUUUACAUGAUUAUGGAA
rnacentral:lncRNA from 1 species